rnacentral:misc_RNA from 1 species
GAUGAAGAACGUAGCGAAAUGCGAUAAGUAAUGUGAAUUGCAGAAUUCAGUGAAUCAUCGAAUCUUUGAACGCACCUUGCACCCUUUGGCAUUCCGAAGGGUAUGCUCGUUUGAGUGUCAUUGUACUCUCACACUCCCAAUUGCUUUGGAUUGGGAGCGGUGGACUUGGGUGUUGCUGCUUGACUGAGGCUCACCUGAAAUAUGUUAGUGCACCUCUUGAUUGGACAUAGUACGGCGUGAUAAGUGUCUUCGCCGGCUCCUCGCAAAGAGGGUGGCCGAUCGGGAGCUCUGUUGCUUCAAACUGUCUUCGGACAAUCUUCUGGCGACUUGACCUCAAAUCGAGUAGGACUACCCGCUGAACUUAAGCAUAUCAAUAAGCGGGGA